rnacentral:rRNA from 1 species
UACGGAGGGGGCUAGCGUUGUUCGGAAUUACUGGGCGUAAAGCGCACGUAGGCGGAUUGGUAAGUCGGGGGUGAAAUCCCGGGGCUCAACCCCGGAACUGCCUCCGAAACUUCCAGUCUGGAGUCCGGGAGAGGCGAGUGGAAUUCCGAGUGUAGAGGUGAAAUUCGUAGAUAUUCGGAGGAACACCAGUGGCGAAGGCGGCUCGCUGGUCCGGUACUGACGCUGAGGUGCGAAAGCGUGGGGAGCAAACAGG